rnacentral:tRNA from 1 species
GCGGGCGUGCUGGAAUUGGUAGACAGACCGGACUUAAAAUCCGUUGGGUGUAUGCCCGUGGGGGUUCGAGUCCCCCCGCCCGCACCA